rnacentral:tRNA from 3 species
GCGGGAGUAACUCAGUGGCUAGAGUAUCUGCCUUCCAAGCAGAAGGUCGCCGGUUCGAAUCCGGUCUCCCGCUCCA